GGAAGUAAAAUGGCUCGCCAGCUUUCCUACC
rnacentral:piRNA from 1 species